AAUGAACGUUGGCGGCGUGGAUUAGGCAUGCAAGUCGAGCGCGAUGAGUUUGGUAGCUUGCUAUUGAACUCGGAAAGCGGCGAAAGGGAGAGUAACGCGUAGUUACGUGCCCCAGGGUUCGGAAUAGCCACGGGAAACUGUGGGUAAUGCCGAAUAACAUCUCCGGAUCAAAGGUGUGAUUCCGCCCUGGGAGCGGACUGCGUCCUACUAGCUAGUUGGCGGGGUAAUGGCCCACAAAGGCAACAAUGGGUAGCGGGUGUGAGAGCAUGACCCGUCUCACUGGGACUGAGACACUGCCCAGACACCUACGGGUGGCUGCAGUCGAGAAUCUUCGGCAAUGGGCGAAAGCCUGACCGAGCGACGCCGCGUGCGGGAUGAAGGCCCUCGGGUUGUAAACCGCUGUCGUAGGGGAGGAAGGCUCUGUGAAGAACAGGGUUUGACCUAUCCUAGGAGGAAGUACGGGCUAAGUUCGUGCCAGCCGCCGCAGUAAUAC
rnacentral:rRNA from 1 species